rfam:Brassica rapa chromosome A10, whole genome shotgun sequence.
ACGACCUUACUUGAACAGGAUCUGUUCUAUAGGAUCGUACCUCUGUAUCCUUGAUUUCUAAGGAGACAGGCCCUAUAUCCUGGUUGAUGAACCUGAUAAGAUCUGAAGCACGAA